UGGCUCAGAACGAACGCUGGCGGCGUGGAUUAGGCAUGCAAGUCGAACGCGAACUGUCGGGCAACUGACGGGGAGAGUGGCGAAAGGGGCAGUAAGGCAUGGGUAACCUACCCCGAGGACUGGCAUAGCGGUCCUAACGGGCCGGUAAUACCGGGCGAUCUCAUCGAAGGGCAUCUUUUGGUGAGGAAAUGAAUUUCGCCUCGGGAGGGGCUCAUGUGAUAUUAGCUGGUUGGUGAGGUAACGGCUCACCAAGGCAAAGAUGUCUAGCGGGUGUGAGAGCACGACCCGCGCCACUGUGUCUCUGAGACACUGACCAGACUCCUACGGGAUCACUGCAGU
rnacentral:rRNA from 1 species